GCAAAUCAGCGAAAAGUUACAGUUUCAGGAAGUCUUACCCUCAACUUCACCAUCUUCGUCUCGGGCGACAAUACUCUUUCCUAAGAAGCAUGGGAGGAAGAGCAAAUCAGCAUCAGCUUUGAUCAGAGUGACACGACCGGUAAGUAGGAGAGACGAUUCGCUAUGGGAGCAGCAUUAUGGUAUUCAAAGUGCCAUUCUACAUUUCAAGCGAUCCUAGAGAAUCUUCAUUAUCGUGUGGCUCAUUAUAUGAGAAAUCAAUGGAUUCAUUUUCUAAAGAGCCGCUGAGGAUUGCGGUCAACCAUAAGGAUAUGAUGUUUAGGAGGUGGGUUGCGCGCUGGACCAGCCAAUCUGCAGCAGAUGGAGGAACGAGAGAGCACUGGUGAAUCUUGGGGUGCGAAGAUGGGAUUUGGGAGAGUGGACAUGAAAAUGGAUCUGGGAAGUCGAUGGUUGUCUUCUUCUCUUCUCUUCGUGUUUUUCUUUUUUAUAAAAAUUAAGAAAGCUCCGACAGCAGCAGGCACAUCAGCUUUGUAUGUGGAUUUGUCUGCUUAAUCGUUUGUACUAGACAAACUGUAUAA